UUAGGAAUCUUGCGCAAUGGGCGAAAGCCUGACGCAGCGACGCCGCGUGACUGAUGAAGUCCUUCGGGAUGUAAAAGUCUUUUGCCAGGGAAGAAGGAUGUGACGGUACCUGGCGAAUAAGCCCCGGCUAACUACGUGCCAGCAGCCGCGGUAAUACGUAGGGGGCGAGCGUUGUCCGAAGUCACUGGGCGUAAAGCGCGCGUAGGCGGUCUUUUAAGUUGGAUGUGAAAUCCUGCGGCCCAACCGCAGAACUGCAUCCAAAACUGGGAGACUUGAGGAUGGAAGAGGGCAGUGGAAUUCCUGGUGUAGCGGUGAAAUGCGUAGAUAUCAGGAGGAGCACCCGUGGCGAAGGCGGCUGCCUGGUCCAUAUCUGACGCUGAGGUGCGAAAGCCAGGGGAGCGAACGG
rnacentral:rRNA from 1 species